ensembl:miRNA MIR451A microRNA 451a
CUGGGGAAUGGCGAGGAAACCGUUACCAUUACUGAGUUUAGUAAUGGUAACGGUUCUCUUGCUGUACCCAAA